GAGCAAGAGCCCGGAGAUGGAUUCUGAGACAUGAAUCCAGGCCCUACGGGGCGCAGCAGGCGCGAAAACUUUACAAUGCGGGAAACCGCGAUAAGGGGACACCGAGUGCCAGCAUCCUAUGUUGGCUGUCCAUAUGUCUAAAUCACAUGUGUUAGCAAGGGCCGGGCAAGACCGGUGCCAGCCGCCGCGGUAACACCGGCGGCCCGAGUGGUGGCCACUAUUAUUGGGUCUAAAGGGUCCGUAGCCGGUUUGGUCAGUCUUCCGGGAAAUCUGACGGCUUAACCGUUAGGCUUUCGGGGGAUACUACCAGGCUUGGGACCGGGAGAGGUAAGAGGUACUACGGGGGUAGGAGUGAAAUCUUGUAAUCCCUGUGGGACCACCAGUGGCGAAGGCGUCUUACCAGAACGGGUCCGACGGUGAGGGACGAAAGCUAGGGGCACGAACCGGAUUAGAUACCCGGGUAGUCCCAGCUGUAAACUAUGCUCGCUAGGUGUCAGGGACGGUGCGACCGUUUCUGGUGCCGCAGGGAAGCCGUGAAGCGAGCCACCUGGGAAGUACGGUCGCAAGGCUGAAACUUAAAGGAAUUGGCGGGGGAGCACUACAACGGGUGGAGCCUGCGGUUUAAUUGGACUCAACGCCGGAAAACUCACCGGGGGCGACAGCAAUAUGUAGGUCAAGCUAAAGACUUUACCAGAAUCGCUGAGAGGAGGUGCAUGGCCGUCGUCAGUUCGUACUGUGAAGCAUCCUGUUAAGUCAGGCAACGAGCGAGACCCGUGCCCACUGUUGCCAGCAUGUCCUUCGGGACGAUGGGUACUCUGUGGGGACCGCCGAUGCUAAAUCGGAGGAAGGUGCGGGCUACGGUAGGUCAGUAUGCCCCGAAUCUCCCGGGCUACACGCGGGCUACAAUGACUGGGACAAUGGGCUCCUACCCCGAAAGGGGAUGGUAAUCUCAUAAACCCAGCCGUAGUUCGGAUCGAGGGCUGCAACCCGCCCUCGUGAAGCUGGAAUCCGUAGUAAUCGCGUUUCAACAUAGCGCGGUGAAUACGUCCCUGCUCCUUGCACACACCGCCCGUCAAACCACCCGAGUGAGGUAUGGGUGAGGGCAUGGACAUUGUGCUGUGUUCGAACCUAAAUUUUGCAAGGGGGGUUAAGUCGUAACAAGGUAGCCGUAGGGGAAUCUGCGGCUG
rnacentral:rRNA from 1 species